UAAUUUUUCUCGUUUUGUACUCAUAUUAUUAUCUUAUUAUUCCUUUAUUUCAGGCUUUUCUUAUCUUCCCCGCUUCCCCCACCCCAGAAAUAUUAGCAUAAUUCAGAAGGUUAAAAACAAACCAACAAAAAAAGCUUUGAGAGAAAACUUCAUUUGAGGACUUUUGUCAGUAAUAUUUGUUUUAUUUUCUUACCAGCAAUAAGUCUUAAUGGUAAAAAAAAAUUACAAGUUCUAGAUACAGUGAUGCGGAGGGGACAUUUAGAUGACUGCCAGCAAUUCCUUAAGCUCCCGCUGAUGGUAACAUCGUUUUUCGAGAGUCUUUCAGGCUUUCCUUGCCUCUUCACGUAUUGUGCACAGUGACUGAUCUCAGUAUGGAGAGUAAAUAUCAUCAACGUCAAGGGGAAAUGGAGAUGUGUCACACAUGUUUUUCUGUGGGUUGAAUCCCAAGAUUUUGGGGUUUCAUAUCUCAAAGAGACUUCCCUAGUUUCUCAGGUGAAAGGAAACAAACAUUGUUUAAAUUGUACUUGGCAAUCUGUGAUGAACAGCAUUCAGAGGAGCAGAGGGCAUGUUUUGGCUCUGCUCUCCACUGCAUGCUACAUCUUUACAAGAACAGGUCUGGAAGAGGUCAUCUUUCUGAGUCCAGUCACCUGCUCACAUCUGCUAGCCAAACUGAUAGACCUAAACUUGAAUCCCAGUAAUGCUUCAUGCUACCAUCACAUCUCCUGAGCUGCAGACCUGAACUAGAAAAGGUAUAAUGUUUCAGGUCCAUGAUUUUUAGCCGCUUCUGCCAUCUCUGUUUAACAUUUCUCAUACCAAGAGUGACAGCUUCAUCUUGGAGAUGAGGCAGCAUGUGGUCAGGUUACCAGUGAAAUAAUAAUGAAUCUUUAGUAUUCUGAAGCAUUCAAAAGCACACUGAACUAGCAGAACUUUUAACUACCAUCAGUUUGACAGGUAAGCAAACUCAAAUUUUUGAGUUUUUGAGCUAUUCUACAGGCAACUAGGAGAAAUCUCUGAAUUAGUUGCCCUUAUCCUUAAGGCAGAUUUCAACUUCCAUGACAUAAAUGGCAUACACUGCUGCAAGUGUGGAACAUGCUGAAGAUAACUUUAUGUUACAAGAACUCAGUGAGCCAACUGGGAUAAGCAACUCCUGGAUCUGUUGCUUGAGAGUAGAGAAGGCCUUGUUGGAAGGGUGAUGCUAGAUCAUAGCAGUGGUUAUGACAUUCUUAUUUUCAAAAUUCUUGCUGUAAUGAGAAAAAAUGGUCAUCAGAAUUGCUACCUUUUAUUUUAAGAGAGCAAACUUUAAGCUACUUGGGGAGCUAGUUAGCAGCAUCCCCUAAGAAUCUGCUCAAGAGGAUUUAGUGGGGCUAUGAGAACUGGUCACUUUAAAACCCACCUUUUAAAAGCCCAGGAACAGGUGUUCCCAUUGUGUUCCAAGUCAAGUAAGUGGGGCAGAAGACCAGCUUGUCUGACCAGGGAACUGCUGGAAUGUGGGCAGGAAGAAGAAAUACGAUCUCUGGAAAUGUGGUCAGAUUCAGUUUUUCAGAUUCACAGAUUACAGAACUAUGGUUCACAUCUUUAGGGAGAACACAAGGAAAACCAAAGCUCAACUUGAACUGACACUGCCCAGAGUGGAGCCAGACAACAAAAGAAGGCUAUUUUAAGUAUGUCAACAGCAAGAGCAAGUUAGUGGAUUUUACAGCAGGACCCCUCUCAAUUACAUGCCAAAGGUCUUGGGAGUCUGGGGAGGUCCCCAUUGGCAAGAAAUCAGACAGUGUUUUCCUCAUUUACAGAAAGAGCACAAGAGAAGACACUGGAAUUACAGACCUGAUAGCCUGGGAAUCAUUUUUAAAGCUGACUUUCAUCCUUGCUAGUGUUCAGUGUGUUCAAACACUGAUUACCCCAUUAAAAGCAAGAGAUACUUAUGUUUCCUUCAUUGCAAAAACUUCUGGAGUUGUUGCUUCCUCCAGAGAGAAACCAUCUACAUAGGAAAAUGAGUCUGCUCUUUUAUUCUGUCACAGAAUGCAUAAUCAGUGCUGAAAUUCAUGUAACCGCUGCAGAAUACAUAGACACAGACCUGAACAAUAUGAUCAUACUGAGACAGUAUUCGAGGUUUUUAUCUUCCAUCGGUGCUUAAUUUCCUUUGAUUAUGACCUGUCAAUUCUCCUCAAGUGAUUAAAUUACUCGCUCUUCUUUUUAUAGAUCUUUUCAUACUUGUGAAACUAAAAGAGUUCUCUGAACUGUAAAGCAGAUAUCUGCUCUACAUGAGCCCUGGCAGGGAGAUGUUUUGCUGCCAAUUUGCACUCUGCUUGGUUAGAACUUUGCAUCUCUCAUUUGGCAGGUUGGGAGAACAAACCCAUCCCAGCAACAGCACCAGCCAUUGGAAAGGAAACUUUGCUGUGAAAAUCAGAAAGAACACAUGGAACAGCAGGGUGCAGGGCAGGAAGUGGAAAGGCAAUUUUGCCUCUUCUGCGGUACUGUGGUCGUUGGCAACUGGAGAUGUACCCAAUCGCUGAGCAGUAAGGUGAACUUUGCUUCUUCAGCAAGUGUUUCUGACAUGUCUGAGUCAUGCUGCCAGUGGAUCAUGUUCUGAAAUACUAUGUAGUCUAGAUCUACACAAUGCAGAUGUGUUGUGGUUCCUCUGGUUUAGGAGCCAUGUUACCUACUGGAUUUACUGUCUGCUUGAGGUGCCUGAUUCACUCCACUAAUCAUGGGGAGAUCCCCAUGACUACAUGAAAGGCAAGAUAGAGAAGAUGGAAGAUGUGGUACAUGUGGUAGCUGAUUGAAACCGUUAAGACGAUGGACUAUACAAAACAUCAUUCAUCCCUAUCUGUGGUUUCUUGAAACCUUUUGACAGACCCCUAUUUCUUUCUAUGCAAACUUGGUUUCAGUGGAGGUGAGUGCCUGUUCCUUUUCUUAUUAAAAAUGAAGUUGGGAGAAAGCAGCAGAUGUCUUGACUUUGCCCAAAGACCAGUGGGAAGACAUGCACAAUCUCUUCAGGUGUCUUAAAACUGAGGCCAAGUGGGGUUUUUUUUGUUAUGAUUUGCUAACUGUUCUGGUUCAUCUUUGUCCUUCCUCACAUGAACUUUAAAUCUUCUACUUUAGAGUUGAAAGUCCGGAUCUUGUUCAUUUUCAGCAGCAUCUACCAGCUCUCAUUCUGUUUGUCUUUGUGAUUUUAUAAUCUGGUUUCUUCACCUCAUACUGGAUUUUAGACCCUUAAAGUGGUGGCUAAUCAGUGGGUUAAUUAAUUCUGCAUGCUCAGAUGACAAGAACAUUUUUUUCCACUAAAUUUUUAUGCAGGAAAGAAAAUACACUAGUCUAAAGAAAGGCUAGGAUAAAGAAUAUUUCUAUCCUAACACUUUAGUCACAUUCUACCCAUGGACUGUGGUGACCCGAAUCAGUGAUACAGAUUUCCCUCUCUCUGAUGCCCUCUGGCAUCUGGGUUUCUAUCUUAGAAGUGUAAAUAGGUUUAGAAAUGGCACUUGGGACAAUACAGUAUGGUUUUCCUUUCAAUUCAGGUGAGUAGCAUUUCAAUUCAAUUCAGGUGAGUAGCAUGAUUACUGGGGCUAGUAAUUUCCUUCUUAUAGUCACAGUCGUGAUGGAAAAAUUAUAAAAACAAACACCUGUAAUUCCUGAACUGUCAGCUAAAGAAUCAAAUAUCAAUAGAUUUGGCAUUGGCAACUCAGCAAAUGUAUGAACUAAUCUUUAAUACUUGUGAAAAGGAAUCUCAUGAGCUGUGAGAAACAGGAAUAACAUCAUAUCCGCACUGCUAAUGGGCUGACAGAUUCAUUGUCCUCAUUGCAAAUGUUUGUAGAUGUUAAAUCCAAGAGUUGUUAACUGUCAGAGUUAACAACAGGAGGAGCGACUAUGUCAAAUAACCAUCAAACUGACCAGUGUAAUCCAUUUUCCUUCCUGCAGAAAGAUUGCAAGCUAUAAUGUAAUGUACCUCCUGUUUAGUAGGCACUUCAUGGACUAUUGAUUUUAGUUCUAAAAAGAGUUUGCAUGCUGUUUCCAUUUGUCACCUUUGGAGAUCACCAGUACCAAAAAGGUAAAUUGCUCCAACUAUUUAGAUCCAUUAUACUAUUGAAAGAGCAAAGAUGGUUUCUGUAAAAUAAAUUCUUUAGCUUUGCUAAUUCUUUUUCUUCCCACAGUGAAGGCCCUUCCUUUUAUCAUGGAAGACGUUGUUAAAGCAUCAUCUGUUCUCAUUUUAAAAGACUAGCUGCCUACAUGGUGUGGAAUGAAGGAAUAUGUUAAAACUAUGAGCAACUGCAAAUAAAACUACCACACAGUCACUAACUGAGUGAAAGGCCAGUACCUGCUAUGGCAAAUAUGGACACAUCUGUGGCAUAAAAGAUCUGAUUUUUAUUUGACUCCUCCAAGUCAAAAUACCAUUUCAUAUGAGAUUUCAUUUUUCAUUCUGUCUAGAUACAAUGCAAGAGGGCCAGAGAAAGAACAGCAGUCUACAAUCAAUUCUUUCUUGUUAGAGCAUUUCAAAGGCAGAAUUCGAUGAGCUGUACCUAGUGGGAGUAUUGUAACAAACUAUGUGCACAACCACUGCACUUGAGCAUUGGGUAAAUGGUUUCCUGAUUUAUAGUUUCACUUUUCUUCUUAGUCAUACAUUAUCAGUCUGAAAGAAGGUACGACAAAAGAUGUUUGAUUGCUCUCCAAUUAAUUAAUGUGCAUCCUUCAGUAAACGUUUAGUUAAUCUGCCUGCUUGAAAGGCAGAAGGAGGGAGAUAGAAUAUUUCUGUUAAUGCUUGCUGGUCUGUGCCUGCUAUCCUGCAAAGAAUAAGAUGUUGUGGUAAAACAUUUUUGAGCUACUGAAUUAAUAUCUAACGGACAGAUUACGACAGCACUUCUCUGUUUGAAUAAACAGCUAGAACACUUCAAUUUUUUUUUUCCAGGGGCAGACCAAUUUUCAGCAUAUCCCAUUUAUUUAAUCAGUUCACUAGACUAUAUCAAAGGACAUAACCAGGCAGGUCAGGAGAUAGCUUGAAACUUAACUAUGCUCUUCUUUAUUUAAUUCACUUCUACCACCUCCCCCAAGUUUCAGACUCUUCUUUCCUGCAGCUUACAUGAGUGCAAAAAAGCAGGAGAAAACAUAGGACAAGACUGUUCCUCAGCCUAUGUGAGGUAUUGCUCCACUUCUCUUUUCUUCUAGGGCUUUGUUCUGUUAUUUCUGAUGUAACAGGUUUUGAAGCCUUGGAUAUUCAUAUCCUUAUCACAGCAAAAGAUAAGUAUGCUUGGGUCAAAGCACAAAGGUGCAAGGCAAAGCUGUAAGCAAACUAAAGAAGCAACUUAAGUGCUUGUAAAUUACCUGCAGUGUGCUGUGCUUCAUUAAUUUUUGCUCUUUACAUGCCUCUUCUCAUGUCUGUCUUUGAAGCACUGGUGGAAAGUCACAGUGCUGUAAUGAAUAGGACACAGUGCUCUACUUCAUGCACUGCAUGUGUGUCUUUCACAGGAGGGAGAAUUUUGCAAUCCCAUCACUGCGAUCACUGCAAUGAAGAAACGUUACUAUGUUGGAAUCUUGUGAAACGAGUAACAACACUGACAAGAAAGAAAAAAAAGAAGCUGAUUUUUUUUUUUUUUUUUUUUUCUAGUACUUAAAAUUUUUGGCAGACUAAAAUCUCAUUUUCUUUUGGUUUCCAAAACAACGCUGAUGUUCUUCUGUCUUUUCCCUCUAUUCAGGUAAGAUUGCUGGUGAUGUAUUGGUGAGGACCACUGACUUCUGGGAUUUUGCCUGGAAGUCUGAAGUUCAUAUAGCUCCCUAUUUUAUGUGCAUUUGUAUUAGCCACUGCUGAAGUACUUAUAAUAAUAAAUCCUAUGUUAUUGGCAAUUAAUUCAGUCUUCAACAAUUAAUUUAGAGUCUUCAGUAGAUUGACAUUCUGCCUAGGGAAGGUUGUUUUUCCUAAGUAAACCAAAAAGUAAAGUCUCAGCAUUCCACAAGCUGUGUACCCUGCUAGAGCUGUUAAAAUAGGCACCAUAACAAAGUUGUUGUGAAAACUAGAAGCUUAGUGAGCACCUGAUUUUUUUGUAAACAAGUUUCUUCACCAAACAGGGAAGCUGACCUACUUUGCAUGUGACCUUUUGGCAGGAUAGCACCUUCCAGUGGAACCACACCAGCCACCAAAGAACCUUAGCAAGAACCUCACAUUAACACAGUGCAUAUAUAGCGUGAAAUUCUAGUAUGAAUAGCAAUUCUGAGAAUAGGCAGGCACUAAAACAUCAUUGUUUCAUCAGUUCUUGUUUAGGCCUGAAUGGGGCAUAAAUAUGUCUACUUCUGGAUAGAGAUAUAGUAAAGAAGUUAUGAACAAAUUACACCUGUAGACAGAAAAAUUCAAGUACAUAUCCCUAAGGACAAAGCCAUAGAGGCCCAGGUCUCUGUGUUACAGGAAUCACCUUCUACUUCUUCAGCUAUUUCAGAUUCAGAAGACAUGGUAACGCUAUUGUUAUGGGCUGGAGGAACCUCAGGAUGAUCAAGGUGGACCAAAUGUGUGAUUGUACUACUGUAGCUGAACUCCAGACUGGUCAGGAAAAAACAUUCAAACUGUCUGUGCAUGAAAGGCUGCAUAGUGCCCUGGAAGUCCUGGCACAGAGACUGAGAUUAUUGAGAGCACUGGAACUACUAAAAAGAAAAAAAGUCAACACAUGGAAUGACUCAAAAUUUACAUCUGAAGUAGUGCAUGCCCGUAGAGUAAUACAGAAGGAAAGAGGAUUGCUACCCUACCAGGGAUUACAAACAAAGUAUGGACCCAUUAUUAUAGAAUUACUGGAAAGUGUACUGCCUCCUCAGAAAGUUGCCAUAAUGCAUUGUAAAGCACAUCAGUUCAAUAACACUCCAGUGAAUUACAGCAAUUGACUUGCCAAUAGAGCUGCUGAAGUAGCUAUGGAAGGAACUCUUAUUUAUCGCGGACAAAUACAAAUAAUUAGGAAAAGAAACCCCAGAUUACCAAGCUAAAGAUGAGAGACUGGCAACAUUAUGAAAAGUGGUUAAAGACAGCAAAGUGUGGUAGAUAACUCCAGAUAAAUAGACAAUUAUCCCUCAAUCUCUUAUGAAUAAACUGGCAGAAGAUUAUCACUGACACACUGGGGAAUAGAGGCAACCACCAGAAGUAUGAGACACCAAGUUUUAAGUGUGUGAAUGGCAGGAAUCAUAGUGUUGUGAAAAGAUGCGAUCUGCAUUUGAAAAACAAUCCCCAUCCACCUAAACAACCUCCACUCAGAACAGCUAAGAAAGGAAAGCAUCCAGGAGAUUAUCAGCAGAUGGAUUUUUGUGGAUUACUGCGGUGAUGUACGUUGUACGUGCACGCUUACCGCUGGAUGGACCUGUACACUGGUACCAACCUGGAGAUUGGGUGUACCCGACAACAUAGCUAGAUGAAGAGAAGUGGAGAGGACCCUUCCAGAUCUAAUUCACCACCCACGCAGCAGUCAGACUCAAUGGAGUCAGCCUAUGUAUUCAUUACAGUAGAGUCAAGCCACUUGCAACAUCAGGAUAGACUGUCAAGAAAGAAGGACCAUUGCAUUUGCAAUUAACUCAGGCUGUGUAAGACUAGGUUCUAUGUUUCUUAUAAUGAUAAGUAAUGCAUUUAUUUAAAGUGAGGGAAUUAAUAUGAAAGUGAAAAUCUGGUUUUAACAUUAAUACAAGGGUUUGGUGGGAUGUGCAAUGUCACUAGCAUCUGCAUAGUGGUAAUUAUAAGAGGUAGAGGACUCUGUAGAAGAUGUAUUAAAAGGUAUUUUGAAAGAAAUAUGUAAAAGUAAUUAGAAGAACUAACUACUUCCCAAGGGGUCAAUUGAUACCUGGCAAUUAAUUAACCACAGGCCCUUUACAAGGACCCCAUACUAACACAGAGCAUGCAUAAUAUUAGAUUUUAAUAUAGCAAUUCUUGAAAUAGGCAGGCACUCCACGGAAAAUGUAUGAAUAUUCACACAUGUUCAAUAUAUAUAAUCUGCAUGCUUUUAGCUCCUGGCUAUGCACGUUAGGUGGAUCCCGUGCAUCUGGUCACAGUAACAAAUGCCUGCUUUUUAAUGCUACAUUAGCAUUAAUGAGUUUUAUUCCUGAUUUCAGUGACAGAACUGGUGUUAUUAAUUGCCUUUCCCUUCCACCUUCCCUUCCCCCCCCCCCCAAACAAGUAUGAGGGCAAGACAUUACAUGGAUAUAUAAGGCAUCUUUAGAUAUGCAGUGAGACAACUCAGACACUAGGCAAAACUAUCAUCUCUGGAUACUGUCUGCGUCUCCCAUUUUAUUUAAGUAUCUUUCAGCUGCUGCCAUGAACGCAGGAUCUCUGUUUUCAGCUGGCAGGAGCUGACACAGCAGAAAUAGCUGUCAAAUAUGAUAGAGUUUCUCCCUUCUAAUGCUCCUUCUUGCACCGUUCUUAGAACAGUUUAGAGUACCAAUAGAAGAAAUGAAGACAAACAGACAUCAAAGAUACUGCGCAAGGUCAGUCAGCACCGAGAAGAGCCAUCCAUCCUUCUAUAUCUGAUGCAAAGUGCCACAUCUUAGCUCUGUGUUCUUUUUCUAAAACUACUGGAAUUUGAAGAGGUUUUAAAACACCAGUACAUUAUUUGAAUAAUAGUGCUUAUAUCCAGGGUAGGGUUCAAGGCAUGUAUGCCACCCAAAACAACUGGUCUGUCCCAGAGAAAGAGAAAUAGUACACUUCUGAAACAGGGAAGAAAAGUCUGACUUCCACUAACUUCAGUCUUCUUUUGCAAGGGGAACUUCCCACUGAGAAUCUAAACAUGCAUCAGAUGUCUAGAAACAGUAAAUCAUUUAAGGUUUUAACCGGGAAAAUAGUUCAGCAACCCUUAGGAACUAUUACAUUUUCACAUUAUUGCCAUUAAAAAAUCCACAUCUUCUCAGUGUUUGCAUAAGCAAAGUGGUUUGCCUCAGGUGAAUGCAGGUCUGCUGAAGAAUGUGGUACCCACUCUGUGCUGGUGCUCUCUGUUCCAAGGCAUGCAACUCUGCCAAUACUGCAGAAAUUUGAGAAUGCUUUUCUCUGAGGCAGUAGUGUUUAAAAUUUCACCCCAUCCAUUAGAUUGCUCCAGAAUUAGCCUUGUAAGUACAUCCGAGUUCUAUGGCAUAGUGUUGCAGUAAAAGCCAGUCUCUGAGAUGAGGGACUCUGACAGUUUAUUUAUAGUUCAGAAGGUCAAACAGUUGCCUUAAUUGGAAAACAUCGCUCACCAGUCUCUGAGCAUAUUGAUGUACUUUGCAUUCGAUGCCAUUAGUUACUUGUGUGAGUUUCUAAUAUCACCUUUGUUAAUAAGAUACAUUCUCCAUAAUGGGCUGCCUGCAGGUUCCAAGAGCCAUUUAUAUGCUAAGUUUGACAAGUUUGAUGAUGCUAAACCCAUGCUGAAAGCAAUAGCUGUCAGAACUGUACCUGGGUGCCAGGCAGAAGUCUGUGACCUUCAAACUGUUUUGGGAUGGGAUGUGCUAAAUCCCAGUUGUAUGGUAUGUGACCAGGCAAAGGUAUUUCUUCAAAUUUGUCUUGAAUUCCUGCCAGAAAAGUUGUAUAUAAACCACACAGCAAAAGUUUGAUGGACUUGGCUUGUAGUAGAAGGAAGGUGAAAUAAAGUCACAGAAUCACAGAAUUGCAGGGGUUGGAAGGGACCUCAAGAGAUCAUUGAAUGCAGCCCCCUGCCAAAGCAGGUGCCCUGCAACAGGUCACACAGGUUGGUGUCCUUACAAGUCUUGAAUAUCUCCAGAGAAGGAGAAGUCAAAGUGCUCCCAACAAGCGCAAAUUAAAGCAUACAAUAGCAAACACACUGAGUGAUUUGACCUAAGGAUCUCUCAUCCAUACAGCUGCAGACUAGAAAAAAAGAAAUCCUCUCCUCAAAGCAAAGGAAACUAUCUUAUUAAGUCUAAAAAUUCCCUCUUGGUUUUACUUCUGCUGUUCCCAACCUCUCCCUUGCCUGCGGUUGUUGCUGAAAAUGACCUUGUCAAAUUUUACAUGUAGCAUGGCCCAGUAGACACAUGAUCUUAACCAUAGGAAGAAGGCAGAAUGUUAAUAUUCAUUGUUUGAAUCUAACUCCUCCCUACCAUUUUGCCUAUCCAAAACAAAUUAUGAAUGAAUACAUGGCCAUAUCCUCAUCCUUACAUGAGGCCUACAACCCCUCCAAGACUCACAGCCACAUGGUGACUACUAGCCAUUUGACAAACAUGGCACUGCCCUCUACAACAAACCUAAAAGAGGAACUAACCAUUGUAAUUGUGCUGUUUCACUGAUUUGCCUUCACAAUUGUUCUAACUGGAAUUUCAGCCCUGCUGAGUGCCACUUAUGCUUUAUAUAUAUUACUAGUAACCCAAUGAAGCACCCUACCAGCCCACAUCACAUCCAUCCAAAACUCUGUCAUUUAUCAUAAGCUUCAUAAAUCCUCCUAACCUUAAAAAUAGACCUACACUCAGUACUAUUUUUUCCAAUUGCGUAAUUUGUAACUUGAUCUAUCCUGGAAUUUGUAACACGAUGCAUAGCCUCAGAACCAAGUAUCAGAUUCUUCACCUGUCUUCCUUACUUCCUAAUUGCCACACUAAUGCUAACCAUUGCAAACAGCAUAUACCUUCUUUUGUAAGCUGAGAGAAAUUAUGUCAUUCCUAUUUAUUGGCUAAUGACAACAACAAGCCAAAGCUAACACAGCAGCAUUACAAGUUGUAAUCUACUACCAGAUUGGAGAUAUAUAAGGCAAUGUAGUGUAACACAAAAUAAAGAUAAGCAUGUGAUUUUUUAACAUUUGAAUUCAGUACUGUGCAGUACGAAAGUAUAAAGGAUCAAAGUAGAGUAAAUCAAUUUAAGAAGGUAAGUGGUUUUAGUUAGUUUAAAAUGGCAGGCUGCAGUAUUUAUUUGAUAAAAAGUUAUUUGAAGUAUUUGACAGAAAGUCAUAGAAAUAAAAAAGCUAGGCAUAACUGUUUUUAAAACAGCAUAACUAUAUAAAAUGGGAAGAAGGGAGACUGAGAUUGUACUGUUAACGUUUUCAUGAAAAAACAAAAUGCCAAAAUUAAACAAGCAAACUCUAGUGGAGGAAAUAGAAACCCUAUUUUCUGAAGACUGUGCAGUGAGACAUAAUGGUUGUAUAACUUCUAAAAGUUUAUAAUUUAGUGAUGCAGGCUCAGAAUAAGAGAAUUCAAUAGCAAAAUGAGUCAACACUUAAACCUAAAUUGUAAUUUAUACGAGACUCUCUUCUCACACAAAUCAAAUUUGGAAGCAGAAUAAUGUCUUCUGAUAGCGAGGCAGUAUUGCUGAAUGUGCUGGGUGGCAGUUUGCAAUACACAGUCAUUUGAAAUUACAUUUAUAAAAUAAAUGUUCAAUUCAGAACAAUUUUUUGCCUACUUACUGGCACAUAAUACAAAAUUGUUGCUAUACUAUAUAUUUCUUCAUAUAAGGCAUUGCAACAUGCAGACAGUAAUGAAAAAUGGAGGCAACAGAAAGUUCUCUUGCAAAUGAAAGCAAGAAUGUAACUGUUCCUUCCUGCUUCCCACCAGGGAAUGGUGGCUUCCAAAACACUGGAAAACAAGGCCGUUGGUGAGAAAGACUCAGAAUUGACUCCAUGUGUUUAAAAAAAAAAACAAACACCACAAACCAAAGCCAAGAGUAGUCACUCCCUGGCAUGUGCACUGUGCCCAAUGCUUCUGGGAGGACAGUCACAUGGGCCUACACAUCACUGUCUCUCUCCUUCAUUCUGCAUCUGCUGGGACAGAUACCACAAAGAUGCUGCUAUGUACUGAAGCUCUGCUCUUCCAGUGGAUCUCAGCAGAACACACGCUGAAAUUUCUCAUAACUAAUAUACUCUCCUCACUGCUCAGAAGCCCUGCUCACAGAAUCACAUAACAGUUUGGACUGAAAGGGACCAUAAAGCCCACUCAGGCCCAACACCCUGCCAUGGCCUGGCUGCCCCCACCAGCUCAAGCUACCCAGGGCUCCAUCCAACCUGCCCUUGAGCACCUCCAGGGAUAGGGUGGGGCAUCCCACAUACACAGCUUCUCUGGACAGCAGUGCUAAGGCCUUACUGCCCUCUGAGUAAGGAAUUGCCUCCUAACAUCUAACCUGAUUCACCAGUUAUUCAGUUCAAAACUAUCACUCCUUGUCCUAUCAUUAUUGCUGCAGACUGGCUGAGUGUGCACUCAGCCCCACUGUCCAUGUCAACAAGAGAUGUUCAGUAGUGCUAGUCCCAACACAGACUCCUGUUACGUUCCUCCACCUAGACAUCAAACCACUGACUGCAGAUCUUUGAGCACUACCAUCCAGCUGAUUUGGUCUGCAGCUGCUAGUAUUUUUUGUGUAUCCCCAGUAAGUUCAUGAUCCAUACCGAGACAUUCAGAUUUAGAUUAAGCGUUGCAAUGCAAAUCUAGGACAUUAGUUAAACUGAAUUUGUGUAUGAAAUUAAAUAGCACUAAGGACACUGUUUUGAGUUAUUAAGAACUUUUACUUUCAAAGUUACCUGAAGCUACCACAUAAUCUUCAGGAGCAUGCACCACAGUGCUGCAGGAACCAUGAACCGUUUUAGCUAAACUUCAGAAUAGCAUAGCAUACGCAUAGCAUAGUUCAGUUGGAAAAGACCUUGAGACAUAGUCCAACUGUCUGAUCUCACCAGGGCUAAACAAGAGUUAAAAAUUAAUGAAAGCAUCAUCCAAAAGCCUCUUGAGCAGUGAUACACAUGGGACAUCAACCACCUCUCUAAGAAGCCUGUUCCAGUGUCUGAUCGCACUCACAGCAAAGACAUUUUUCCUGAUGUCCACUCCACCCCUCCCAUGGCACAGCUUGUGCUGUUCCCAUCCAAUUUCUAGGAGUAGAGCCAGGUAACUCUCUCUCCAUUCCCCUCCCCAGGGAGAUGCAGAGAGGUCACCUCUUGGCCUCCCCUUCUCCAGACUGGACAGUCCAAGUGUCCUCAGUCUCUCCUCAGCACAUGCCUUCCAACCCUGUUACCAGCUUUGUUACUCUCCUUUGGAUGCUUUUGAGGACCUUACCAUCCUUUUUGUAUUGUGGAGCCCAGAACUGCACACAGCACUCAGGGUGAGACCACACCAUUGCUAGAGGUACGGCGGGAUAAUCAGCUCUUCUGGCCAGCUGGCCAUGCUAUGUUUAUUGCACCUCCAAGGGAGGUUUACCCAUUUGGCUGCCAGGGCACACUGCUGGCUCAACAGUGAGCCUGCUGUCACCAGCACCCCCAGGAACCUUCCUGUUGAGCUGCUCUCCAGCCACUCCUUUCCCAACUGUGCCUGGGUCUGACAUUGCUCUGUCCCAGGAGUAAAACUCAGCAUAUUUCCUUCAUUGAACUUCAUGCCAUUGAUAAAUGCCCAGUGCUCCAAUCUAUCUAGAUCGCUCUGCAAGACCUCUUGCCCCUCGAGGGAGUCAGUAGGACCUUUCAGUUUAGCAUCAUCAGUAAAUUCACUGAGGAUGCACUUAACUCCUACACCCAGAUCGCUGACAACAACAUUGAACAAACUGGCCCUAGACUUGCACUAUCAUCUUCCAGAUAGACAUAGACCAAUUCACUGUAAAUUUCAGAACUCCACUAGCACAGUUUACUCCCCAGCACAGCAUACAUCUGUUUGUCUCACCAUUGGACAGUGUAAUGCUAUUAUGUUUACAAAAGUACAGCAAUAAUAGUAGAGUGGCACAAUCCUAAGCUGCAGCAAAUGAGAACAAGCCCAAGUACAGCAGCUGUGGACACAGAAAUGAAGGAAAACUGCUUACCUUUAAAAGGCCUCAGGUAGGCAUGGAUCUCCAGAGAAAUAUCCUCGUCUCCUCUGCCAACCCUUAAAUGAGGAGUGAGAAGGGGUGGAUCCUGACUACAUUCCUUCUGGUCACUUAGCUGCAGUACAUGCACCUGAGCUCCUUUGGGUUGGCCCUGCCUUCCCACCAGGUGUUCAAUCACUGCUUCAGGCCAUGACUCAGCAUUUCCACAACAGACAGGUUGUCCAGAAGGAUGCCAUGAAGGACAGUAUCAAAGGCCUUACUAAAAUCCAGAAAGAUUAUGUCCGCUGUCUUCCAUUCAUCUGCAAAGCAGGUGACCUUAUCGUAGAAGGAAAUAAAAUUACUAAGGCAGGACUUGCUCUUAAUGAGCCCAUGUUGACUAUGCCUCAUAAUAGCUCUGUUCUUCAAACGUCUUUCAAUACCCCCAGCACAAUAUUCUUUGUAUUUUUUAUAAAGACUGAGGUUAGCAAAACAGGUCUGUGGUUUCCUGAGUCUUCUGUAUCUUUUGUAGUUGUUUAUAGCACUGGCUAGCUUCCAGUCAGCAGGGAUGUUCCCAGACUACCAAGACCUUGGUAAUUUGUUGAGAGGGGUCCAGCUAUAACAUUCAUUAAUUCCUUUACUCUGAAAUGAAUACCAUCAAGCCUCAUGGACUUAAGAACAUUAAGCUGGUGCAGAUGGUCCCUCACAAUUGGGUGACCACAAGUAUGUAAGUCUCUGCUCCCCUUGGCUGCAAUUUAGCAAAAUGAUUCACCAGACUUCCCUCAAAAUAAAAAGUUUCAUGUUACCUUGUCCUCCAGGGGGCACUGCCUUCACUGUGACCUUUCAGUGAAACCCUGGUGCCUUCCCCCCUAAAUUCUUACUUAUGGGAUGAGCUAAGCUGGGCCUUGAGUUAGGUCCAUACUUUUCAGGUGCCACUAUGGAAGAAAAGAUAAGACAGGCACCUGAGUGUUUUGCUGGAUUUUCCUAGACUCUACAGUUUGUUUCUUUCUGUUUCAAACAAGAGUGAAGUAUGUGGAAGCUUCAGGAAAUGGCUCCUGAAGUCAAGAUCUACUUUCUCAGGCUUUACAUUAAAUGAAUCAGUGAGUGGCAAACUGCUGAGACUACAGCUCAGGAUUCUUAACUCUUUCAAGUGCUUUAUCCAUCUGUCUUCACCGCCUGCCACGGUUAAUUUUUAACAUCUGCAAAGCUGUAAUGAAAUCAUUUACAUGCUUACAACAAAAUGUACUGUUUGCUGGAUUCUGCCAGUGUUGCUUAAAUUUUACUUAUACAGCUAAACUGCAGAAAAAAGUGUCUCAGGCAAUAUAGAGAACAGGUGACACUUGAUAGCCACAGUUAUCAUAUUUGGAUUCUUUUUUUAUUGAGAACAACACUUCAAGGACAGAUGGAUUAUUACCUUUCCACAAAAGUACCCACAUUUCUGCUGAGUAACCUUCUUAUCAUCUCCUUUUAUUACUGAAUCUUAAUGAGAUAGUAAUAUAAAACAUAAUUAAUUUUAUCAUCAUUUUAAAAUUAAUGUGAUAAUCAAAGUAGAAUUCCAUCUGCAGAGCCCAUUUUGGAUCUUUGGUCUUCUAAAAAUUCCCCAGAGUGCCCACCCCACUACCAAAGCUGAUGAUAAAUCUGGGGAUAACAUUUCUGGACAACAGAGUGAGAAUGAUACUCUUGUCAAUAGGAUGCCAAGCAGUUAGCAGGCAGUAAAAACUAACCAAGCUCUUAUAACCAACAGUAGAGAAUGAUGGCUUUGCAUUUAAUGGACUGGAUAGGAAGCCUAAGAUCACAACUCAGUUUGUCUCUUAAGUGUACUCAGCACCUAUACAACACAUACACCCCUUACAGGCCUAUGAUUGCACACAGUCAAGAAGCAAUGGCUUAUGAAAGUGACUGUAGCUAAUGAAUUUCACUUCACAGCCCAGGGGCACACACGUGGGCUGCUACUCACUCCUAGUGUUGAACAGUGCUUUAUUAAAAUCCCAUGACUUGAUCAUAUGCAGCCCACAUGCUCAUGCCCCAUUUCUGAGAUCAGUAGCCUUGGAGAACUAGGUCUGUAGCCCCAAAAUCAGAAAUUAUUUGAUGACUCCUCAGAACUUAGCAGUUGAACCAGCUGCACUUGCACACAUGAAGGAAGUGACUUUGUGAACCCCUGUCAGUGAUGCCUGAAGUCAUCUUUGCCUUUGUUUCCUAGCUAUAGAAUACAAUCAGGAACAUAGAUCAGUGUAGGCUGUGAAGCCCUUUACCUGUUUCAUCCUUUGAAGCUCCAGUCCUGCAGCACACACACACACACAACUUAAUCACUGUGAGUGGAGCUGCACUGGGAAUGAAGUUGGCAAGUUCAUGCUUACAAGGUCAUGGACUAAUAAAUAUUUGGGAUGAGAUUUAUUCCCCAGUCAAGGGCCCAAAUGGCGCACAGGCAGCAGAUCCUUUUUUCUCCAUCAUGAAAGCAUGUAGUAAUAAUAAUGAAAAGUUCUAUCCUUUGUCAUUUCACAGAACUGUCAUAUUUCACAUCUGGUACCAUGUUUGGCUUUUCUGUUAAUUCAUGAUAUCCAUAGAAAUGCAGACUUGGAAGACGGAUUGGCCAUUUUUAUAAUUAUACAAUUAUACAGUGUUAUACAAUUGCUAAUCAAGAGAAAGGAAAAGAGACCUGCUUUGCAGAGCUCUGGAUUUCUAACAUGCAAUUGGCCCAACGGAACAUGGACGUUUCAAUCAAUAGCACACUUAUUUACAUGGACUGAUGUAAUCCAGACAGGCAAAAAGAAGCAUGAAAGACUAAGUAGCUAAGCACUGCUGCCCUGUUUUUAUUUCAGUUCCUUUCCACAAGGCUGCACAGCACUAUUAUCAGGUGAGAGGCGCUGAGCGGCAUCUCAUGUAUUAUUUAAGAGAAACCACAGCUGUUUUAGAAGGUAAAAGGGUGCAAUGUCAAGUGAGUAUUAUCCGUUAUUUUCACUUGAGCUGAGAAAUGUUUUAGCACCGUUUCCUCUCUACAGGGAAACCUGGCUAGUGGGUCACUUCUCACUCCUAUCGCUGAGAGCUGCUUUAAUGAGUGCUAGCUCCCCGCUGAUUAUUGAUUCCAUCUGGCUCAAUGAACAGGAAUAAGUAGUUCCUAAUUUGUUGUGACAUUGCAUAGAUGUGUUUAUUUAUUAAAGGAGAGAGCUCUGGCAGCAUGCAUCCCAUUCAGCACCAGUACCACAAGCUUGGUAUUGGCAGGAGAGAAGCAGAUCUCCGCCACUGAGUGGCAGGCCACGCCAGGUAGCCAGCAUGGUGAGAUGCUCGCAGUUACUGCCUCUCAGCAAUCGUCAGUCUCUAGCCUCCCUCUCUCACAUCUGAUCACAUCUGUCACCAAAGACAUUUCCCAUGUCAAACUCUUUUGUCCCACUCACUGAGGUCCUUGUCCCUGGCACUAUAGCUGCAUUUGUGUGACUCAGUGCCCAGGAACACUCUGAUGCUACUAUGAUCAUAUUACCCGACAGCCCGAACUAAUUCAGGUAUAGCCAUACAGCCCUCCAGCGUGCUAGGAGACUAUGUGGUCACUUUUAGGACCUAAAAGUCACUGCUAUGUCACUACUUAGACAUCUUGACAUUGAAUGUCUUGACACUAAUUUCAAGUUCACAGAAAAGCAAGAUCAGUCUGAGACCAGUUCAAGGUUGCAAGGGGUAGUUUACCCCAGGUUAAAACAGAUUUGUCUUCAGGAAACCCAUGUUCCACCUUAAUGUGUGUUACCUGUGGGAGGAAACUCCACACUAUAGCUAACCUACUGAUAAGGUGAGGUCUAAAUUGUUCCUUUUUCCUUAUCUGCGUGCUUUAUCCAUGGACAUUCAACUGUUCAGGCCAGGGAAAGUCUCUCACUCCUUGUUCAAGCCAAAACUUUUUCCUAUGACAACAUCUGGGGCCUUUAGGCACCUCUGUUACAGAAAUAAUAGCAACAAAUUUCAUCCAGAGGUAAAAGGCAAAGAAUUAUGUACAGUUUUCCUGAAAGCACUGUGAUAUGCUGCAAAGACAUUUUUUGCCCUACUGUAAUGAAACAAAAAAUGGUACAACACUGAAUCCCAAAUGUGCUCUUCUUUCAGUAAUGUAAUAUUACAGAACUCUGGCAAGGCAACUGAUGUUUCUUUCCUCUCAUUUAUUUUCUCUAAAGAUAGUUACUCAGCUCUGUGAGUUGGAACUGAAUGUUCUCUACUGAUGAUUAAAUAACCCAAUUAGUCCUAGGUUUUAAUCACUAAAUAUUCUUGUUGGAGUAUAUUUGGAAUACAUUCUUAUAAUUCUAUUGGCAAUUUCACAGGCAACAAAGAAGAAAGUUGGAAGACAGGGUUUGCCUUCUGUCUAUACCCAACAGUAUUGUGUUUUCUGACAGCUGUAGGCCCUUCAUUCCCAGAAAUUACUCUACUUUGUCAUUCUUACUCCAGGGAGGGAGAAGUUGUGUCAGAAAUCUAAGCAUGAAAUAGAGCAUUUCAAUGGACAAAGCAAUUCCAGGAGGGAAUUCUGCACUGAAUGAGUCAUCACCUCUACAGUUCACAGCUUGUAUAUGUGUAUAAAUAAGUGCACAAUCCAGGAAAAAGGAUGCCUCUUGUACCUCACUAAGAGCAUGCAUAUUAAGAUCCUCAUCAGACCCUCUGCUCUCACACAUGGGACUAGCCUACUCUCAGCUGCUUUGUUCAGAAAAUCUUGUGAACAGAGUUUUGUUAGUGAGAUUCUUGACAUCGUCUACAACAGUAUCUGAUAGUACCAACUCUAUUAGCCUAACUUUAACUGAAUGCAAAGGAUACCACAUAAACAAGAAAGCACCUAGAAAUGCUGGGAGUCAGACACACUUGUCUUCCUUUCUCAUUACCAAUCAAUGCCCUUGUCACAUUGUUUGGGUCAGGAAGGACAAGCUUGCUCCUUUCCCUCAUCCCUACCUAUGGGAUCUAAGAGAAGAAAGGAGAGCACAGCAGUGUUUACGCUUACCCCAGGCCACUCUGAGGCCCUGAGAGGGCAAAGUUUUCUCCCAGUCAUCUAGGCUUGAUGCUGAGACCCAUCACACACACUGAGUUGUUACUCCAGGGCAUGGAAACUAGCACAUGAAUGCAACUCCUGAGUUGCAGAUGAACUUGUGCAAGUACUCAAUGAAGCAAAGCGAUCUUACUUGCACAUCCGAUACGCACCAGAGAAAAAUAAUUCAGUCAAAGCAAAAUCAACAGGGGUUUACAAUAAUUCUGGAUUAAAAUUUGUGAUUUUUAAACAGACGUAUCUGAUGCAACGAGAACAAAAGGUAACACGCAUUCAUUAAGUCACAUACAGAAUCAAAAGUAAUGUCUUUCGACUCAGUAAUAAAUCAGAACUGACAGUUAAUAAAGUCAGUCUCACAGUGUUUCUCAUUUGAUCAUGGUCACAGUGCUUCAGGAAAGCUGCUAGAUGUUUUGCAGUCACUUGUGUGUUUAGAUAUCAGUGGCUGCGUUUUCUCUUUUUUUAACUGCAAUCUCGCCUGUUUUGUUACUUUUUUCCAAUGGUUACAUUUGACUGAAAAAAGGAACUGCCAUCCAACACACUGAGAUUUCAGAAUUCUUUAAGUUGGGGUUAGAAUAAGACAUCUUAGAAUCACCUGCAAACAAAACACUGAGAAAUAUUUUUUUCAUACAUUUUCUUUCUUCCUUCAUUUCAAUGAAGUUGGAACUGGUAAUCUAUACUUGCAUUAUGUUACACAGUCAAAAUAGAAAAUAGGAAAUAGAUGCCUGGACCUUGCUGAAAUUAAACAUUGCAUCUUUCUGUUAGAAAGACUUAACAAUAAUUAUCCACUGAGAAUUUGACCAAAAAUGACAUGUAUCUGUCUGAUAUUUUCAUUCUGUAGCAUUGGCAUUUUCCAGUUUCAACAAGUAACCUUUGGAAAUUUUGAACUAGCCUUAUCUAGCAAGUUAAGCUGCAUUGUCAUUACUAUGUGGGGCUCUGUCAUUUGUUCACAGGAAGCAGUACCUGCAGAACUUAUCUUUGAAUUUAGAAGGCAGGAUUGUGCAUCGCAGUAUGAAGUAUUCAUGAAAGCAGAAGAGAAAUAGGGGGGACAAAAACACAACACGCAUAUUCAGGCACAACAUAACAGAAGCAGAGUGCAAUGGAACGCAGAAUAAACUGUUGAUAUGAAAAUGUGUUGCCCUAUCUAUAAAAAUGUUUACAACUUGUGAGGCCAUCAGUAGAUAACACAAGAAGUGUAGGAGCUUUUUGUCUAGAAACUUGCUUGCCUGUGAUUUGGUGUGUGAUGCUCAAUGCUGCAGGCAGAUGUGUAGAGGAUUUUAGAGUGUUAGGGACACAAAUAUAUGGUAAUUGUGGUUUCUCUGUUGUAAUACAAUUGAACAAAAUUGUCUAAUAUUUGGGAGAGCACUUCUGAGACAUCUCUGGUACUUGCACAGAAGCCAUUUGAUUUCAUGUUUAUGGCUAUGCAUAUAUAUACAUAUCUGUGGCUCCUGGUGACUUUCUUGUUCAGACUGAACCACAACAGAUUCCCUUUCUCUGUAACUACAGCGCUUGAAGCCUCAUUUGAAACCUUACAUCAAGUAUAGAAAGAUAUUAAGACAGCUUCCACUAAACUGUUUUCCACUAAAUCAACAUCCAGGAAUACUGUCAACCGCACAGACUGUGCUCCAGCACUGGAGAUGGAUGUGGAAGGGAUCUGCUUUCCUACCUCUCUCCAGCCAAGAAAUAGGAGGGGCAGAGAAGCUGCAUGGGGCCACAGGUUCCCCAGAGAGUCUCAUGAACUUUCUUCUUCCCUGUCCCCUUGUCAGAAUUUCCUCUAUUGCUACUACACUUAGUGGCAUUAGGAUCUUUGAGCUAUUUAGCCAUUGGCUAUUUAUAUCCUUGUUAUGAAAGAUUCAAAUGAUGUUGCCAGUGUCACCUUUAUAGCACUGUCCCCAAGGUCCUUCAGUGCCCUGACACAGGAGUACCGAAGCAGAGUCAUGAAAUAGUUAAACCCAAAUUAUGAGGUUAUCUCCACUAACUUCAGGGUACAAUCCUACACUUACAGGCUAAAUAAGUUCCCAUGCAAUUCCUGUGCUGCAAACUGAAUCUUAACAUUAUCAUUAUUUAUUAUAACAGUUUAAAAUGUACAGGAAUUGUUAAAAUUCUUUUUUUUUCCCUCUGGAAAAUGCACUGUAAAGAGAUUUAUGUAUAAAUAAGGAAGCACUGCAAAGAGAUUAUGUAUAAAUCUAAAUACAGGGAACAAUAUAUUAAAAUGUCAGUAUGACUUUUCCUAAGAUUGUGUAGCAGGAAUCUUUUUCAAGGAUACUCACUUCAAAGGGCUGUAUGAGUUUGACUCACACUUCUCUUUUUCUAGUUUUAUGCCAUUCAUAUCAGAAUACACUAUAAAUGCAAUAAAACUUUGCAGCUAAAGAAGUAUAAACAUAUUUGAGGAGUAUUUGUAUAUAUUUAUAUUAAUGACUUGCGUAUAUAGUGCCACAUUUAUUGCAUUCAGGAUCAAAAUAUUCUCCUGCUCUUUUUUUUUUUUUUCUUUUUUUCUUUUUUCUUUUUUUUCCAAAAUGCAUCCUACAUUGCUCUUCAUUCAGCCCCUGUUCAGGAGAAGCAUCCCUGACCAAAGCACUCAUGACCACAGUUCCAACAUCUGCAACUUUGCACAGAUAGGUAAAGGUUCAUUCUUUUUUGGAGUACCCACUCAUUUGUCACAAUGCUUAUCUCACCACUGUCAGCACACAUGCAAUAUCCAUGCUACACACAGAGGAUAAAUGAGCAUAAGAGUCCAGAAGUUUGCUAGAUAACAACAGGAGAGGGGAAACUGGGAAUGCAUGGUUACCAGAUGGUGAGAAUUGCUGAUGAUUGAAAUGGGGACUCUUCCCUACCAGAACUGUAGACCAUCUUGGAGGAGGUGUUGCCCUCCCACUAAUAUGUAACGUGGUGGGAGACCAAAGUUCAGAAGUUGGUGAGUAAAGCAGCCACUGGGCAGCUAAACAUGGUCACCUGCCCUCCUUCACCCUGAGCAGGAUUAUGUUCCAUAAAACCUUCUCUCAACUUGUGUUAAAAUCCCUGGGCUGCAAGACUCUUAUUCCCUAUGAAUUAGGGAUAUAAAAAUGUGACCUCUAGUCAUUUCUCCGUUACAGCAUAGAAGUUUUCAUACCAUGUCUGUUUGAAUAGAUUCCACUGUAUUGCAUGAUUGCAAGAUUAUACAUAAAUACCGUUCAUACUCUUCUUCUCUUGCCUUUUUUUCCUUUUUCAUCCCUGUACUGUUGUCUUUUGACUCUUUCUGUAUUAUCUGAACAUGAUGGCUCUUGCUUGUGUGAUAAUGCAAGUAUUAAAAGAUAGCAACAAUGAUAAUAAUGUUAUCAGCAUUGCUAGUUAUUUAACAUUACUGCAGUUUUCCAGAUUUCAAACCUGCGAAAGAUCCUGCCUACACAUAUAGAAGUACUGCUUGUAUCCCUUUGACCAGAACUUAAUUGUGCUUGUGUCUUGCAUGGGUUUAUCUUAACUAGCUAUUUUCAAGGACAAGGUUACAAUUACCUAGAUCUUUAAAGCAUUCUUAAAAAUAAUGCUGACUGAAUAAGCUAGUGAUAAGGUCAAUUAGAGCUCAAUUUGAUUAGGUCAGACCACAGGCUGUCGUGCUUUCUACUGUAUCACCACAUACAUGCUUGGUGAAAGUGCACUUAAGAGCUGUAACUCCAGUUUUAUGUCUCUUAGGGGCUUCCUUUGCAAACUCCAACAUCACCUCAAGUUCAUGG